CUUGUUCAAUUCUAUUGCUGAGACUUUCCAGUGCAUUUUGCAUUUCUCUAAGUGUGUCCUUCAUUUCCAGAAUUUGUGAUUGUCUUUUGUUUAUGUUAUCUAUUUCACUGGAGAUUUUUCCAUUCAUAUCCUGUAUCAUUGUUUUUAUUUCUUUAAGCUGAACUUCGUAUUUCUCUGGUGCCUCCUUGAUUAGCUUAAUAAUCGACCUUCUGAAUUCUUCUCCUGGCAAUUCAGAGAUUUUAUCUUUGCUGGUGAGCUAGUAUAAUCUUUUGGGGGUAUUAAAUAAUCUUGUUUUGUCAUAUUACCAGAAUUGUUUUUCUGGUUCCUUCUUUUUUGGGUAGACUAUGUCAGAGGAAAGAUCUGGGACUCAAGGGCUGCUGUUCAGAUUCUUUUGUCCCACGAAGUGCUCCCUUGAUUUGGUGCUUUCCCCCUUCUUCUAGGGAUGGGGCAUCCUGAGAGCCAAACUGCCAUUAUUGUUAUUUCUGUUCUGGAUUUAGCCACUCAGCGGAGCUACUGGGCUCCAGGCCGGUACUGGGGAAUAUCUGCAAAGAGUCCUGUGAUGUUAUCCGUCUUCAGGUCUUUCAGCCAUGGAUACAAGCACCUGCUCUGGUGGAGGUAGCAGGGAACUGAAGUAGACUCUGUGAGGGGUCCGUGGUUGUAUUUUUAAGUGCACUGAUUUUGUGUUGGCUGGCCUCCAGCCAAAAGGUAGCACUUUCAAAAGUGCAUCAGCUGCAGUAGUAUAGGGAGGAUACAAGCUUGCCCAAGUAUCAGGUGGUGGGCAGGGCUAUAGAGCUCCCAAGAGAUUAUGUCCUUUGUCUCCAGCUACCAGGGUGGGUGGAGAAAGAUCAUCACGUUGAGGCGGGGUUAGGCUGUCUGAGUUCAGACUCUCCUUGGGUGGAGCUUGCUGCAGCUGCUGUGGGGGAUGGAGUUGUGGUUUCCCAGGCCAGUGGAGUUAUGGUCCCAGAGGGAUUAUGGCUGCCACUGCUGCAUCACACAGGUUGCCAGGAAAGUGGGGGAAACCCGGCAACCACAGGCCUCACCCGUCUCCCAUGCAGCCCAAAAGUCCAGUCUCACUCCCACCAUGUCCCCGCAAACAGCACUGAAUUUAUUUCCAGGCAACCAGUGAGCAAGGCUGAGAACUUGUCCCAGGUUACGAGACUCCCAGGUACAGUCAUGUGCCGCAUAAUGACAUUCAGUCAAUGACAGACUGCAUAUAUGAGGUGGUCCUGUAAGGUGAUAAUGGAGCUGAAAAAUUCCUACUACUGAACGACAUCAUAGCCAUUGUAACAUCAUAGCACAACCAAUCACCUUUUCUAUAUUUAGCAAGAUGGCUACAGAAGUUCUGGAAAUAUACCAGACGUGGCAAUGCUGCAGAGGAAGGAGGGAGAAUAUGCCUUUCUGCAGAUCUUUCUUGGAGGAGAGGCAAGUUUCUCCAAAAUUACUCAGAUGAUUUCCCCUCAUGUGUCUCUGGCUGGAAUUAGGUCACAUGGCCAUUCCUGAACAAAAAGACAAGGAAAAUAAGACUUUUCUUAUACCCAGCCACUCCUGGGGCUGGGAGUAAGGUCAGAUUUUUCCAGGUACAUGGGCUGUGUUAAACAGUGGGGAAAUACCUCAAUAAAAUCGGGGUUCUGUUAGAAGGAAAGAAAGGAGGAGGUAACCAGUGUUACCUCAGGACCAAACCCCAAAGGGUGUUUGGGAUGGGGGAGCUGUGAAGCAUUCAGUUUGGUAAAAGCAACCUGGAGGUUAUCAGGGUUAGUGGCCUCCUUCUAGCAGCAUGGCUGUGGGUGGCUCUAAGUCUCUAGGGAAGUCCCCAUUCGGUUCAGUGCCACACCCAGUGCAUUUUGGGACUGAGGCUAUUGGUGGGCUCAUGCUGAAGGGCCUGCUGUGGCAUCCCCAAUUCCUCAUGGCCUGGGCAGGGCACACAGACACCCAGAGGUUCCCACAUGCCCUGCCAAGAGGUCAAAGAGGGGCUGCGCGGUCCAGUGGACCAGCACAGAGUUUGGAGUAGAAUGUCAUGAGUCUUCUUCCUCUCUCUAGAAAUAUUCCCAGCUCCUUUGUGUCUUCUCUACAGCCUGCGGCUGAGCUUUGCCCAUCCCCAUGAAGACUCCAUUGUGUCAGGGGACUGCUUUUGCCCACACCUGAGUCCUUGCUUUUUGCCCCAUUUGGGGAACACCCAUCUGGCAUGGCCAAUACCUUCAGGGCUUCACCCCUAGGCCUCUGUGCAGAAUCAAAGGCCUAGGUACAAUUUGGCUUUGGUAUUUUUUCCUCCACUUCUGUAAAAACAUCUAACGAAACCAUGGCAAACAUCCAUCAGCAUCAAAUUUCUUUCCUGUUAAUAGAUCAUUCUGAGUCGCAUUCUCUUAUUUUGCUUUUCUUUAAAUUAACUCAAACUAUUCCUGCGCUCUCAGAGUGAAGUGUCCAAGGUGGCCAAUACUGCACCUGUGCCACCUCACUUAUUCUGUCUCCCGGUGACAGUCACAACUUUCCUAUUGAAACAAGAAAGCACCCAGCCAGGACCCCAUCUCCGUGUAUUCAGGCAGGAACCACUUACCCUGGCUCGGAAGUCCCUCCUGCCAUGCACACUGGAAAUCCCCAGGGCUGACCCUCCGCAGCAGCCUUUCCUGAAUUGCCGUGUAGCUUCCUCAGACUUCCUGCCUGCCCCCACCCCAUCCUUUCUCCUCAAAGCCUUGUUUCUGCAGUCACCUUUUCCGUCAUUAUUCACGUCAUACCUCACAUUGCUCCCGAGUUUCCUGAAUUCAGUGGUAAGGGGUAUGCUCUCACCUUCAUCUUCUGUGUCCCUCAACCCUACUCAUCUCUGCCUAUCAUAUCCCCCUUCCACCAACAGAUCCCAUUCCUAAGAAUGCUGCCCCACCACUCCCUUGGGUGUCCUUCCCCCUUCCUUGGUUCCAUAUCCCCUGUAACACAAUAGACCAAUCCCUUUAGAAAAGUCUUAACUGAGCCCUGAUGGAUGACCCAGGUCAAAGUUUCCAAAGGCCAGUCUACCCACUAGAUUCUGAUCUGUAUCAGAACUACCUGGGGAGUUUUUGAAAAGGCACACUCAGCUGGGUACAGUGGCUCACGCCUGUAAUCCCGGCAAUUUGGGAAGCUGAGGC
rnacentral:lncRNA from 1 species